GCCCAUGUGACUAUUUACCAAAAGCAUAGGUCUCCACAAAGGAGUAAGACCAUGUAUAGGGGUUGACACCUGCUUAGUGUCGGAAGGUCAAGGAAGUUGGUGAUCUGCUGACAAGGGAGUCGAUGACGAAAGCCCCAGUGAACGGUGGUCGUAGCUAUAACGAUUCUAAGGUAGUGAAAUACCUUGCGGGUAAGUUUCGUCCAACAGGCAAAGUCAUGUGC